AGCUUGCUCCGAUCGGAUUAGUGGCGGACGGGUGAGUAACGCGUGAGUAACCUGCCUGCGAGAGGGGGAUAACAACGGGAAACUGUUGCUAAUACCGCAUAACGCAUCGAUUCCGCAUGGAGAUGAUGCCAAAGGGAAACCGCUUGCAGAUGGACUCGCGUCUGAUUAGGUAGUUGGUGAGGUAACGGCUCACCAAGCCGACGAUCAGUAGCCGGACUGAGAGGUUGAACGGCCACAUUGGAACUGAGACACGGCCCAGACUCC
rnacentral:rRNA from 1 species